rnacentral:lncRNA from 1 species
GAGGGAGGUAGAUGGAAGCCGCGGAGAGGGAGGGAGGUGAAAGAGGGGCGUAUAAGCCCUGUGGUUGGCUUUCCCUCACCCGACCCGCUGUCAAAUGUUUCCUUUCGGCCUGGCAGGCGGAAAUCCAACCACUGUAGCUUUCCGCGAGGUGAUGGGGGAAAGUGUCACCUGUUGAAUUAACAGAAGUCUCACUGGAUCGUGCCCUUAUUCUCUGCAGUAAUUAAAUGCAGAAGCCUGCACUUCCCUGGUUAGAUAUUCACAGCUGUCAACAGGGAUUAGAUUCCACACAUCGGUCUCCCCCCCCCAAAAAAAGAAGAAGAAGGGGAAAAGGGGAUAUCAUAAAAUCCAGCUUCUGACCACUGUGGUUGCAAGUAUGAACUAAAUCCAUGUAUUUAAAGCCGUUUGUGCUCUACUGUUUUCAGGUAAAUGGCUCCCAGUGUGGCUUACACAUCAGUUCAAAAAGCAAGAUGGCCCCUGUCUUCAGCUCUGCCGUCUGAAAGACAUGGCACAAGAGGGGAAAGGGAUGGGGAGGGAAGAGGAAAACAAGCGCACACCCAUUUUUAAAGUUACAAAGCUUGUAAAAGCAACCUGCUGGGAUGGAAACAGUUCAGGAAGAGAAGGUCUCUCAGCUGUCAGAGACAAUGGAGUGGCCUGGCUGCCCUUGUUUCACUCUACUGCAGUCUGUGGAGUGGUUGCUAUUCACAGACAAUUGGAGGAAAGCAAAAGGGAGACCCAGGAGCUGUCAGGUGAUGAAUUACAUUCCACAGUAACUAACAUCUACCAAAUGGCUACCCCUGUGAGGGGUAGUGCUGUCACAUUUUCCAGAAGUAUCAGGCUGUGGGUAGCCCUCAGAUUUUUAGGUGGAAAUGAGCAAAACCCAUAGAUCUGCUGAGUUAAACUGGAAGGACAUAUUUAUUCCUGAGCCUCCAUGGGAUCUUUCUAUCUGGCAAGAAGUCACAGAUUUGCUUGUGAAGUAGUUUAGGUGGACAGGAGUCUUAUGCUGGCCAAGGUACAAUCAUUGUCUUUAGCACACUCCUUUACCUUCUCUCAGCUGGAAAAGAUUUUGGGUCUCCCAGGAAUUACAAGGAGAGCAAAAAGGUGCACAUUAUGUCAGGACACCAGCACUCUCUCUUCCUCAUGUUCACACAGGAAUCAUACCUUAGCAAACCACACUGCAGAUGGGAUCUAUGCUUUCUUACCCAUAAUAACAUAUGAGUAAUAAAGUAUAGAUCCCAUCUGCACCUCCUUUAGCCCAGGUCCCCAUACAUCUCUUAAAAAAGGUGGCUGUUUUGCCUUUAAAACAGCCGUUAUAAGGAGAAAAGUUUGGGGGGAUGACGAGCAAACCGUUAUCUGAUAAAAUUAUUAAAACCAAGAAUUCUAACUCUAAUGUAUUUUACCACACCAUGGUUUUUGUUUUUUAAUCUGUGAGUUUUCUUUGCAACAGUAAGUUGAAGCUUUUCUUUGGUCGUAUCACCCUGAGUCUGUAACCUUAGCUGAGGUUUCUAACUCUUGAAAGCUUAGCAUUAUCCUUAUUUUUCAAAUUUUGAUCCAGUAAUCCUAGAGAGGAAACAGAGCAGUGACUAAGGUUUUCUGGAAACUAAUGAAUCAAAAUUUGAUUGAUUUGGUAUUCAUUCAUUAUGUUACUAAUUUAUUUAAUGAAACAAUUUUUAGAAAUUGGUGUGAGUGUGUGUGUAAGCAAAAUUAUAGUACCCGAAAAUUUUCCACCCCACAUCACUGAUGGAAAACAGUAGUUGAUCUGAGAAAGAAAGGUGGAGGAAGAAAAUGGCAGGUUAAUUUACACCACUAUCCUAAAACCACUUAAAAGUAAAUACCAUUGACAUCCACGGAGUUUACUUUCAAGUAGCAGUUUUGGCAUGUUGGAAGUUAAUGUUUCAUUAAUUUUAUGUAAUUGCUCCUAAGCUGCAUGUCUGCACUGAACCAUAUGUUGUGAUUUCAGAUUCUUGUGUGUGUUUAUAGGAAGGGCUAUCUUGUUGCUAUAGGCAACUGUUAAGAGCAUUUCAAUGAUCAAACACUUCUAGGAAGCCAACAAAGCUUCGUUAUGAAUCUGCUACAGGUCCCUUCUGCCAAGGCAUUCAAUACUGUUUACAAUUUAACAUACCAAGAAAAAAAGAAAGAUACAAAACAUAAAACUACAGGAUUGUCUCAUGUCAUCGGUGGCCCCUUUUAUGAGAGCCAGAGCUCCUGUCUUGCUUCCACUCAGGUCAUACAAGUCUUGUAACAUUAUGAUAACUGUUGAGACGUUCACUGAUAAUGUCAGAGUUCUGCUGGGUUAUUCAGGUCUGUAAGGGUCACAAACAUCUGCAAUUGUGACAUGAAAGCUGGCAGCAUUAACCCCGCCAUAUGGGGAUCCCUUGCAUAUGUCUGCAAUGCCUGGAGACAGACAGGUUGUUCAUCCAUAGCAGUGAUCAGAGGAGGAAUGACCGGUGGAGGAGGAGUCCAGAGAGAAGAAACGGCAUGAUGCACCUGUAGCAGCAAAACCGGACACUUUCAUCAGCCACACCUGCAAUAAAACAUGUUUCUCCUGCCUUAGUCUCUACAGCUGCAGCAGGUGCUGUAACUCUACAAUGGUUUGACUUUACUCCUGAAGGCUUACUCUUCCAUUGUCUCCUGAGGCAGAUGGGAUGCCAACAAACAACAAAGGGCUACACGUGACAUGCAGCACACAUGUCCCUGUAAGGUAAACUUAGUUCAUUUGCUGCAGCCACAUAGUACACGUGUUAACGUGCAAAUUGGUCCAACUUUGCCAUCUGUAUAAGAUAUAGGAGACUUCUCUGACAUGGCACAGUUUGGUAAAGGAAGUCUAACUGUAGAAGAAGUUAGGAGAUAGUUCAUCUGGUAGAGCAUGAGACACUUAAUGGCAGGGUCAUGGGUUCAAGCCCCACAUUGGGCAAAAGAUUCCUGCAAUGCAGGGGGUUGGACAAGAUGACCCUCAGGGUCCCUUCCAACUCUACAGUUCUCUGAUUCUAUGAAUGUAUUGUUGGUUGUGGUUUUUCUUGCUGUGGGAGCUUUCUUUCUUUGUUGAAGAGCUGGGUAAAUAUUAGAAAGAGCCAAGUAGCGAAGGCAUAUAACCUGCAACCUUGAUAUGCAAGGUUGGUAAAGGUAAAGCGACCCCUGACCAUUAGGUCCAGUCAUGACCAACUCUGGGGUUGCGGCGCUCAUCUCGCUUUAUUGGCCGAGGGAGCCAGCAUACAGCUUCCAGGUCAUGUGGCCAGCAUGACUAAGCUGCUUCUAGCGAACCAGAGCAGCGCACGGAAAUGCCAUUUACCUUCUCGCCGGAGCGGUACCUAUUUAUCUACUUGCACUUGACAUGCUUUCAAAUUGCAAGGUAGGCAGGAACAGGGACCGAGCAACGGGAGCUCAUCCCAUCACGGGGAUUUGAACGGCAAGUCCUAGGCUCUGUGGUUUAACCCACAGCGCCACCCGUACAUUGCUGUUAAAGGCCAUCUAUUUCUCACUAGGUGUUUGAAACAGGUUCCGUAGUGCCCUUUUACUUUGAAUGUAGCACAUCCUAGUUUUCUUUUGUUUUAAAUUUCUGAUUGCUUCGAUUCCUUUAAAUCGCAAACGGGUUUCUCAGCCAUUGGGGUUACUAAAGUAAGAAAAAUACAGUGGUGCUGACCACAUCCUUCCUUUGUUUACUGUAGGGGAAAAAAGAAAACCCUGGCACACCUCAGUUCUACCAAACUGGAUGGGCUGAGGGUGGAGUGGACUUUGAUUUGACUUAAGGAUGACUGCCAGAGACAAGCAGCCAUCUGCACUAGAGCUUCCGCCUCAAGACAAAGGGUCUACAGUUUUAACUCAAGCAAAUCCAGAUUGGUAGUGGCAAGAACAGGAACUGGAGGACAAAGGUCAGCAACGUGGAGCAACAUGACCCACACGCUGCCCCUUCUACACGCCCACGAUUCAUUGUCUUCUUGUCUGGGAACCUGUUUCUGUUCUCAAGAUGAGAUAUUUUUGCUGGCAACAAAAGAGAACAAAAGACACAGAAGGAAUAAGAUCCUUUCUUGGAAGAUGUUCUUCUUGUUCUGUU